rnacentral:lncRNA from 1 species
AUGUUGGGGAUAGGAAAAACAGCUCUGCAGAAGGACUACGGACUCUUGGUGCUCUGUAGUGACUCUGACAUACAGAGGACUCACCAUAAUAUGGUACAAGCCUUUCUGCCCACCCUUCAGAUUAUCCUCCAGACAGCUAGGAAACAAAGCACAUCAGGAUGUUGUGCAUGCCUGCAUGCAGGCAAAAAGCCUCUCCAGUGCCACCAGACUGAAUUAAACAGGACAUCAAAAGGACCUGCCAAAUUUGAUGUGACCAGACAGUGAGGGGAAGUCAGAGCAGUACCGAUGCAGAGCAAAGACUUGGGAUGCUGUUACGGCAGAUUUUAAAAAAGGACAAAUCCUGUGGAGAUUUUCCCCUUUAAGGGAAAAGAGGAUGAAAGCAGAAGGUUUCAAGCGAUCCCGAAUGUGCAGGCUGCCACAAUGCAAGAGUGAGCCAGGGCUGUGUGGCUGACAGCCCCCCAGCAAGGCACUCACUGCUCGAAUCCAGACUGCUGGAUAAACAUCUAUAAGUCAUUCAAGACGGUCUAUAUGUUGUCUCUCACAUGUCCCCACCUGUCUAGGCAGUUCACCCCAGCUUAAAGGGAAGCUGCAAAGUAAAAUAUGUUAUUAACUUUACCUUUGUAAUCCUCUCCUGAGAUGCUGUUUUCUGUUGGUGGGGCCUCGCCUGGAAUACUGUGUGCAGUUCUGGGCCCCACAGUAUGAAACAGAUGUUAAGGUCCUUGAAAGAGGAGGGCAACAAAGCUGGAAAAGGGGCUGGAAGGCCUGUCCUGUGAGGAGAGGCUGAGGGCACCUGGGUGGUCCAGUCUGGAGGAAAGGAGGCCAAGAGGCGACCUCGCUGCUCUCUGCGGCUUCCCGAGGAGGUGCCGGUCUCUGCCCCCUGGGACCGAUGGCAGGAUGUGCGGGAAGGGCACAAAGCUGUGCCAGGGGAGGGUCAGACCGGGCAUCGGGAAAAUAUUCUGGACUGUGAGGGUGGCCGAAGGUUGGAAGAGGCUUUCUAGCAAGGUGGUUGAUGAAGUGUUCGACCCUGUCAGUGUUCAAGAGGCAUUUGGGCAAUGCCCUUGUUACCAGGCCUUAACUUUUGGGUAGCCCUGAAGAGGUCAGAGAGUUGGACUAGAUGAUCUUUGAAGGUCCCUUCCACAUGAGCUGUUCUGUUCUGUUCUGUUCUGUUCUGUUCUGUUCUGUUCUGUUCUAUCCUAUCCUAUCCUAUCCUAUCCUAUCCUAUCCUAUCCUAUCCUAUCCUAUCCUAUCCUAUCCUAUCCUAUCC